GGAUGUGAGGGCGAUCUGGCUGCGACAUCGUCACCCAAUUGAUUGUCAGGGUUGAUCCCGCUGAUCUGACUAUGCCCCUACUUCCUUCAGUGCUCGCUGUGUGCCCCUCCCGAGGCUGCGUGCUGCGUCAAAGGACGACCAAACCCCAUAGAAGAGGACCGUUUCUUGGUCAAGGGUAAGGAGUAGCUGCACCCCUCCUGCUAGAACAUCCAAACAAGCUCGCAAAAACGAGCAAAAUAAUUUCAGGAAGCAUGAAAACAAAAGGCAAAAUUUCUAAUUAACUAAUCCACCAUAUAGAGUAUUAAGGU
rnacentral:snRNA from 1 species